AAUAGAUACCCGGGUAGUCCACGCCGUAAACGUUGGAUACUAGGUGUGGCGGUUAUACCAAUGACUGCCGUGCCGAAGCUAACGCAUUAAGUAUCCCGCCUGGGGAGUACGGCCGCAAGGCUAAAACUCAAAGGAAUUGACGGGUCCCCGCACAAGCGGCGGAGCAUGCGGCUUAAUUCGAUGCAACCCGAAGAACCUUACCUGGGUUUGACAUCACGGGAAAAGCUGUAGAAAUACAGUGUCCAUUAGGGCCCGUGACAGGUGGCGCAUGGCUGUCGUCAGCUCGUGCCGUGAGAUGUUGGGUUAAGUCCCGCAACGAGCGCAACCCUUGUCCUAUGUUGCCAGCGGUUCGGCCGGGGACUCAUAGGAGACUGCCGGGGAUAACUCGGAGGAAGGUGAGGACGACGUCAAGUCAUCAUGCCCCUUAUAUCCAGGGCUGCACGCAUGCUACAAUGGCCGGUACAACGGGCAGCGACCCCGCGAGGGUGAGCGAAUCCUAAAAGCCGGUCCUAGUUCGGAUUGAAGUCCGCAACUCGACUUCA
rnacentral:rRNA from 1 species